GGUUUUAUUUUCAAUGGUUUCUGAUCCAGUCUGUGCGUGUAACUGUGUCUAUAUUAGCAUCCAGGAGCACAAGCACGUCCGCUCUGCUUCGCUUUAAAGGUUUCAAGUAUCGGUUGCCAGUUUCUUUUUUUCCACAAUCUGUAGGUCACAUAAAAUAUUAACUUACUUAAGCACUAUCUUUCUAUUCCCCGCUUAAAACUUCGACUUCCUUUCCUAUUUUUCCUUCUCUCAGUUUGUUUUUUCAUCACAAUCUGCAGGUCACAUGAAAUAUUAACUUACUUUACCACUAUUUUUCUAUUCCCCGCUUAAAACUUCGACUUCCUUUCCUAUUUUCCCUUCUUCUCUCAGUUAUUUAAUAAAGACCGACAUUUGAGGAACGAUAAACCUUCACUCGACUUUCUUCCCUUUAUCGCUAUCUGUGUAUUCCCCGAGUCGCUGAUAACCUUGACUUCCUUCUCCUUCUGUCUCCUCUCUCAGUCACGUAAAACAUCGAUCGACUUCUCAGCAACUACAAAUAUUCGAUCUACUUCUUUCCCUCUAUCAAUACCUGUCAUUUCCCCGAGUCGCUAAUUACAAAACCUUGACUUCCUUCUCCUUCUGUCUCCUCUCUCAGUCAAGUAAAACAUCGAUCGACUUCUCAGCAACUACAAAUACUCAAUCUACUUCUUUCCCUCUAUCACGAUAUGUCUUUUCCCCGAGUCGCCAAUAACAAAACCUUGACUUCCUUCUCCCUCCCUCUCUUUUCUCGUGGUCUCAAAACAGACUUCUGAGAAAAAAUUAUCAGCCUUCAAAUUCCUUCUCCCUCCCUCUCUCCCUCUCCCUCACUCUCUCUCUCCCUCUCUCUCGCCCUGGGUCACUAAACUCUUCACUUCCUUCUCUCCCGCCGAGGUCAACGUUCGUAGCUGGAAAACGUUGUCGUGAGGAGGACAAACACGAGAAUCUUUAUCAGCACGAGACGGAUGGCAAGGAAAAAAAUACAGGUUGAUAAUAAAACGCCAGGGAUGAGAGAGAGAGAGAGAGAGAGAGAGAGAGAGAGAGAGAGAGAGAGAGAGAGAGAGAGAGAGAGAGAGAGAGA